ensembl:lncRNA
UUUUUCGAUAUCAAAAUAUAUUUUUAUUUGUAUAUCGACAUAUACAGCACUCAAUGUUAAAAUCAGAUAAUACAUACAAUACAAUCAUCACACACACACACACACACACACACACACACACACACACACACACACACACACACACACACACACACACACACACACACACACACACACACACACACAUAAAGGUGUGUACAUUGUCGAUAGGGAAGUGUGCAUAAAUGAUGGCUACAUUCCUCAAGCUGAGGGAUGUUGUUUCAAGUUGUUUCCGUUAUUAUCAAUGGAAUGAGCUUUGAAUGGACUUUGACAUCAUUAACAGCACAGCUAUGCAAUACUACAGUAAACCUUAACUUCAGACAGUUGUAUGGCAAAAUCAGUCUCUGUACCUCAAACUCAUUCUCUGCUGUAGUCUCUACUCCAGCCUCUACAGCACACGCUGCUCUGGUUUUACUGCAGCCUUUUGACUCUACUUCAGUCUCUGCUACAGACAAAUUAAGUCUCUAGAGAUAGAGUCUCUAGAGCUUUAGACUCUAGUCGUCUUUAGCCUCUAUUGUUGUCUGUAGAGUUUUACUCUAGUCGGCUUUAGUCUCUACUGUAGUCUCUAGAGCUUUAGACUAGUCGUCUUUAUCUCUACUGUUGUCCCUAGAGCUCCAGACUAGUCGUCUUUGUCUCUACUGUUGUCUCUAGAACUUUAGGCUCUAGUCUUCUUCAGUCUCUUCUUUCAGCUCUACUUUAGCCUCUACUUCAGCCUCGACAGCUCCCCUUUAAGGUGUCUCUCUGAGGCCCCACCACACUGUGACUGUUGGAAGGCUAGGUACUUCCCCACUGCAUCGUCUCCCAAGGGGCCGCUCUCAGGAGAGAGUAAAAUAAGGAAGUAUCUAUAAGUCAACAUCCGUGCAGCCACUGUGUGUGUGAGUGUGAGCGUGAGUGUGAGUGUGAGCAUGAGCACGAGUGUGAGCGUGAGUGUGUGCACGCACGUGUGUGUGUGUGUGUGUGUGGGGGUGUGUGCCGCCGCCAGUACACAUCUUCAUUUCAGAUCCAUAUCUGGAGUCCUGGUACGGCUGCCGCCUCCGGCCAACUUGACAAGGUCGGAGGGAUGGAGGGGGCGGCGCGAGGGGUGGCACAUGGGAAGGGGGUGGAGGAGAGGGGAGAGAUGGAGAGGUGAAAGGGGAAGAGCGGUGAAGGGAUGGAUUGAAGGGGCAUAGAUGGAGGAGGGGGAUCGAGAGCUGGAGGGAUGGAGAGGUUGAUGGGUGGAACGCAUGGGCCUGCACCAACUGCCUGUAAACAGAAAACAGAGUGAAUGAGUGGGGCAGGGCUGAUAUUACUGUAAGCGGUCAUGCAGGUUUUCACACUCGCAUAUACGGUCCCCCCCCGCCCUCUCAGCUUCCUAGAUGACUCAAACAGUUCCCCUCGCCUUGUCCUAAACAGGGAAGCAUGGUAGAUGGACAUCAAAGCCCACCGCCCACGAAACAACGGUAAUUCUACUGAUGUUUCUUCAACCGCAAAGUAGAACGGAAAUCCAAGCAGAGGAGAGCUUGAGCGUGUGAACUCCUUACACACGUGUGUGUGUGUGGGUGUGUGUCUGUGUUUCGGAAUGUACCAGAAUACCCCCCCCCCGGGGAUCAAUAAAGACUUAUCUUAUCUUAUCAGUCAACUGUGUGCAUUCUCUCCCAGGUACACCUGGCCGGGUCACAUGACUGUAACGGCAGGUAGGAGAUGUGAGGGCACUUCAAAGCACGCCGGCCGCGGCGGCGGUCUCUGAAGCCGUCAGACUGUUUCACUUUUUAUUGCGUUGAGUACACACGGUGGUCACCGUGACAACCGGCGCCACACAGCCUCCGCGCUGUCCGUUACGAUAUGCCGGUUGGCCGAAUGGCCAACCUUGUUCUUAAGCAAGCUACUGUUUUUGAAAAAAAACCUUCACACUUUAUUCUGACAUGUUGUUCACAUGUUGGGCGGGCGGGUGGCUGUUAAUGGACACAUUCUUGGCCCCAGGGCUGUGGCGUUUGACAUCCAUAACGACCUAAUAGGUGUGUAUUAUGAGGGCCGGGAGGUGAAGUGCUGUUGUUUGACUGAGCUCCAGCUGAUACCCGAUGAUGGAGUGUGUUUAUGCAAAACCAAGCCUUGACAGCACCAGCACCAAGCCUUCACAACAUUCAGCCCCCGCAGGCUCCAACAGUCUUAAAAACACACAGGGAGUUCAGAGAAAUGUGUCCCAAAGCCAUGUCCGUCAUAGUUUUAGUAAUGAAGUGUUGUACGCGACAUGUUAGGCAAUGUGUGCGUGUACUGAUAAUGUAAUCGAAUAUAAAAAGGAAAUGAAGACUUAUUGGUGGGGAAUGCACCAGUGUUUUUGAAGCGGGUUAUCAUGCAUGGGAAAAGGAAUCCAUGGGCGUUUGUCUACAUUAUGAGUCACACUUAAGUGUUUCCUCUCCAAGACCAGAGAUAUGAAGCGAUCUACUGGAACUCUGUGAUAGCACCAAGCUAGCUCGACUCCCCCUCCCCUGACUCCCCAGCCUAAAGUUCCUCGGGGUCAACAUCUGCGAGGACCUGACCUGGACUCACCACACCGACGCCAUCACAAAGACG